rnacentral:rRNA from 1 species
ACCCCCGAAACUCGGUGAGCUACUUCGAGACAGUCUUAAGAACGUACCCGUCUCUGUCGCAAAAGAGUGGGAAGAUCUCCAAGUAGAGGCAACAAACCUACCGCACCCAGAGAUAGCUGGUUACUCAAGAAAAGAAUUUAAGUUCAACCUAAAGUUUCUCGAUUAUACAAAAUAAAAACUUUAGAGCCACUCAAAUAAGGCACAGCUUAUUUGAAACAGGAUUCAACCUACACCAUCGGGUAAUUAUACUAAACAAGUAAUAAGUGGGCCUAAAAGCAGCCACCUACAAAAAGCGUUAAAGCUUAAUACCAAUUUUUACCUAAUAUCUUUACUCCCCUAGAACCCCUCACUAAUAUUGAGUAACUCCAUAAACUUAUGGAAGCUAUUAUGCUAGGACUAGUAACAAGAAAUAGAUUUUCUCCUAAAAUGUAAGCCUAAGCCACAAUAGACAAACUACUGGCAAUUAACGUAAAUGAAGACAUUAUAGUAACCUCAACAAGAAAACCCU